AGAGUUUGAUCCUGGCUCAGCGCGAACGCUGGCGGCAUGGUUAAAACAUGCAAGUCGAACGCGAAAGGGAGCAAUCCCAAGUAGAGUGGCGGAAGGGCGAGUAACAUAUUCCUAACGUGCCCCAAGGUCAGGGAUAGCUCAUCGAAAGAUGUGGUAAUACCUGAUGACACUGCGAGGUUGAAUGACCAUGCAGUCAAAGGCUUGCUGCCUUGGGAGCGGGGAAUAUCCUAUCAGCUAGUUGGUGAGGUAAUGGCUCACCAAGGCUAAGACGGGUAGCCGGUGUGAGAGCACGGCCGGCCGCAUCGGGACUGAGACACUGCCCGGACUCCUACGGGAGGCUGCAGUAACGAAUAUUCCACAAUGGGCGCAAGCCUGAUGGAGCAAUGCCGCGUGCAGGAUGAAGCCCCUCGGGGUGUAAACUGCUGUCAGGGUUCAGGAAGUCAAUGACCAGACCCAAAGAAGAGCGACUGCCCA
rnacentral:rRNA from 1 species